rnacentral:misc_RNA from 1 species
UUUCCGUAGGUGAACCUGCGGAAGGAUCAUUCAUAAUAAAGUGUUUUAUGGCACUUUUUAAAAAUCCAUAUCCACCUUGUGUGCAAUGUCAGGGUUGAUUUUUCUCUCGAGAGGAUCAACCCCAAACAUCAACUAUAUCUCAACUCUUUGUCUGAAAAAUAUUAUGAAUAAAACAAUUCAAAAUACAACUUUCAACAACGGAUCUCUUGGCUCUC